ACGAAGUAAACUGUCUGUCCAAUAGACAAUAUUUGCAUUGCUAAAGGUUUUCCAUUGUGAUGUGCAGCAGCUGGCGAGUUUAUUUGGCCACGAGGGAUGCGAGUCUCACCCAGAAAUCACAUCACUGAAAACUUAACAGACACGGGUUUGGUCUUGAAGAAAAAUGAACAUGAGGUUGAAAAUUGGCGGAAUUACCCUUUAAGAACCGGCCUUCAGUCUGUGGCGUGUGUGGUGGGGAAAUGGUGGAGGCAUUGGCAAGUAUAUCGGUGGUACAGGACCAGACCAGCUGUCCAAUCUGGGGGAUCCGGUAGCUCUCACACAGUUACUGCAUGAGCUACAUUAAACACUGAAAUCAAAACAGUGUUUAUGUAACAAGUGUUGAAUUUCAUGUUGUAUAUUUACAUAAAAUCUGAUUAGUUCCCAUGCCUGAUAUUACUGUACAUUCCUUUUGUUGUAUGUGCCCUUUUUAAUGUCACAUUUCCUUCUCUUUCUGCAUUCCUCCUAGGUAAUUGGAACAUUGUCCCAUGAAAGUCAUAAUCCUGUGUGUUAAAACAGAUAGUUUAUAUUGCUACUAACAUUGUAAUAUUAUGGUCUUCUACCAGUACAUUGUGAUAUUUAUGGAUUUCAUGCAUUUAUGAACUUUAUCUGUUGAUUUGUGAAUGCUGUACAUGCUAGCUAGCUACAGUACAUCACCUACAAUUCGUCAUUGGGCUAGCAUGGCUAUUCAUGUCUCCGGUUGUUCAUUUAUACUUUACAGAGGAGUUGGUGAAUACGGACAGCACAACAUUUAAUUUAUGGAUGUUGUUUGUUUAUCCCGUAUGUCAUGUGUUUUUGUUUGUUAUUUAGACAACAUUUUACUGUUUGUUUGCAAGUGCACGUCAUACACUAACUCUACGUAAUGCUUGGCUGUCAUUUAUGAAAGUUGGCUAGCCCAGUCCCAUAGGCUAUACUCUACAUUGCAUCAUUAUCAAACGAGACAAAUGUUAUUCUUAUUUUCACACUGUCUAUUGUAUCCAUGUGGAAGUGAGGAGUUGGUGCGCGAGGGCAGCUCAACAUUUAGUUUAUGAAUGUGGUUGGUUUCUUUUAUCAGAAUAAAACAUCAACCCUGA